CCCUUAGAUGUUCUGGGCCGCACGCGCGCUACACUGAUGCAUUCAACAAGCCUAGCCUUGACCGAGAGGUCCGGGUAAUCUUUGAAACUGCAUCGUGAUGGGGCUAGAUUAUUGCAAUUAUUAAUCUUCAACGAGGAAUGCCUAGUAAGCGUGAUUCAUCAAAUCGCGUUGAUUACGUCCCUGCCCUUUGUACACACCGCCCGUCGCUCCUACCGAUUGAAUGAUCCGGUGAACCCCUCGGAUCGGGGACGGUGCCCGUCGGUCUCCGGCGGGCCAGCCCUCGAAAAGUUGGGUAAACCUUAUCAUUUAGAGGAAGGAGAAGUCGUAACA
rnacentral:rRNA from 1 species